rnacentral:rRNA from 1 species
AGUGAACGCUGGCGGUAGGCCUAACACAUGCAAGUCGAACGGCAGCACAGUAAGAGCUUGCUCUUACGGGUGGCGAGUGGCGGACGGGUGAGGAAUACAUCGGAAUCUACUUUUUCGUGGGGGAUAACGUAGGGAAACUUACGCUAAUACCGCAUACGACCUACGGGUGAAAGCAGGGGAUCUUCGGACCUUGCGCGAUUGAAUGAGCCGAUGUCGGAUUAGCUAGUUGGCGGGGUAAAGGCCCACCAAGGCGACGAUCCGUAGCUGGUCUGAGAGGAUGAUCAGCCACACUGGAACUGAGACACGGUCCAGACUCCUAAGGGAGGCAGCAGUGGGGAAUAUUGGGCAAUGGGCGCAAGCCUGAUCCAGCCAUACCGCGUGGGUGAAGAAGGCCUUCGGGUUUUAAAGCCCUUUUGUUGGGAAAGAAAAGCAGCAGGUUAAUACCCCGCUGUUCUGACGGUACCCAAAGAAUAAGCACCGGCUAACUUCGUG